GAUGAACGCUGGCGGCGUGCCUAACACAUGCAAGUCGAACGGAAAGACGAUGAGCUUGUGCCGUUGACGUUAGCGGCGGACGGGUGAGUAACACGUGGAUCACCUACUUGUAUGUCGGGGAUAAUUACGGAAAACCGGAUAAAAUACCGGAGAAUAUAUUGAACCGCAGGGGGCAAUAGAGAAUGACGGCUUUGGGGGCUGUAAUAGAGGGUUCCGCGCUGGAUUGUCGAGUGGGUAAGGUAACGGCCUACCAAGGCUACGAUGCGUAGCCGAGGUGAGGGGCUGAUCGGCCACACUGGAACUGAGCCACGGUCCAGACUCCUACGGGAGGCAGCAGUAGGGAAUCGUCCGCAAUGGGCGAAAGCCUGACGGAGCCACGCCGCGUGAGUGAUGAAGGCCUUCGGAUCGUAAAGCCCUGUUAUUAGGGAAGAACAGCUGUGUAAGUAGCUAUGGCCGUCUUGACGGUACCUAAUCAGAAAGCCCCGGCUAACUACGUG
rnacentral:rRNA from 1 species